UACGUAGGGACCAAGCGUUGUUCGGAUUUACUGGGCGUAAAGGGCGCGUAGGCGGCGCGGUAAGUCACUUGUGAAAUCUCUGAGCUUAACUCAGAACGGCCAAGUGAUACUGCAGUGCUAGAGUGUGGAAGGGGCAAUCGGAAUUCUUGGUGUAGCGGUGAAAUGCGUAGAUAUCAGGAGGAACACCGGUGGCGAAGGCGCUCAUCUGGCCCAAUACUGACGCUGAGGCGCGAAAGCUAGGGGAGCAAACAGG
rnacentral:rRNA from 1 species